UGGUUAUUUUUACAUAAAAAUUUUAAUAAUAUAACCACACAGAAGUUCAUUCUACACAUUCAUUUGACAAAAUACAAGUCUCAUAAAACAAUCAAAUGAAAGUGGUUAUCUUUGGCUUCUAAUCAUGCAAAGAUUUCAUCAAGAUCUAUUUCAUCUUUUCUGAUUAAUUCUUUUAGUAAUCACAAAUUCUUCUUAAUUAAGUGUGUUUCUGAAAAACUCAGUUUUGUUCCAAAUAUAAAAAGUUUUCAGAUUCUUCAAUAAGAUUUCAAAUUUUAUCCCUUUCAA
rnacentral:lncRNA from 1 species